UACGUAGGGGGCUAGCGUUGUCCGGAAUCAUUGGGCGUAAAGCGCGUGUAGGCGGUUCGGUAAGUCCGCUGUGAAAGUCGGGGGCUCAACCCUCGGAUGCCGGUGGAUACUGUCGGACUAGAGUGCGGAAGAGGCGAGUGGAAUUCCUGGUGUAGCGGUGAAAUGCGCAGAUAUCAGGAGGAACACCAAUAGCGAAGGCAGCUCGCUGGGACGGUACUGACGCUAAGGCGCGAAAGCGUGGGGAGCGAACAGG
rnacentral:rRNA from 1 species